GACGAACGCUGGCGGCGUGCUUAACACAUGCAAGUCGUGCGGUAACAGGCGUAGCAAUACGUGCUGACGAGCGGCGAACGGGUGCGUAAUACAUGGGAAUCUGCCUUUUAGUGGGGAAUAACCCGGCGAAAGCCGGGCUAAUGCCGCAUAAGAUCUUCGGAUGAAAGCGGGGGAUCGUAAGACCUCGCGCUGAUAGAUGAGCCCAUGCCGGAUUAGCUAGUGGUGAGGUAACGGCUCACCAAGGCGACGAUCCGUAGCUGGUCUGAGAGGACGGCCAGCCACACUGGGACUGAGACACGGCCCAGACUCCUACGGGAGGCAGCAGUGGGGAAUAUUGGACAAUGGGCGAAAGCCUGAUCCAGCGACGCCGCGUGUGUGAAGAAGGCCU
rnacentral:rRNA from 1 species